AAAGACAAAAAAGACAUGAUAAAAGGGUCUGCUCAUCAGAAAGAAAUAGAAAUACAGACGCACUUAACAGAGCUUCAAAAUUUAUGAAACAAAAGCUGACAAAACUGAAGGAUUCAAUACCUCACAUUCAAUAUCAAUAUAACUGGGCAGAAGAUCAAUAAGGGAAGAGAAGACAUAAACAAUCAGACUACAAACCAAUCAGACCCAACAGGCUUCUAUACAACACUACAAACCAACCUCUGACCCAACAGGCAUCUAUACAACACACAAACCAACCUCUGACCCAACAGGCUUCUAUACAACACUACAAACCAACCUCUGACCCAACAGGCGUCUAUACAACACACAAACCAACCUCUGACCCAACAGGCUUCUAUACAACACUACAAACCAACCUCUGACCCAACAGGCAUCUAUACAACACACAAACCAACCUCUGACCCAACAGGCUUCUAUACAACACUACAAACCAACCUCUGACCCAACAGGCGUCUACACAACACACAAACCAACCUCUGACCCAACAGGCUUCUAUACAACACUACAAACCAACCUCUGACCCAACAGGCAUCUAUACAACAUUAGAAACCAAUCAGACCCAACAGGCAUCUAUACAACACUAGAAACCAAUCAGACCCAACAGGCAUCCAUGCAACACUACAAACCAAUCAGACCCAACACACAUCUAUACAACUCUACAAACGAGUCAGACCCAACAGGCAUCUAUACAACAUUACAAACCAACUUCUGACCCAACAGGCAUCUAUACAACACUACAAACCAAUCAGACCCAACAGGCAUCUAUACAACAUUACAAACCAACCUCUGACCCAACAGGCAUCUAUACAACACUACAAACCAAUCAGACCCAACAGGCAUCUAUACAACACUACAAACCAAUCAGACCCAACAGGCAUCCAUAUAACACUACAAACCAAUCAGACCCAACAUGCAUCUAUACAACCCUACAAACCAAUC
rnacentral:lncRNA from 1 species